CCUACGGGUGGCAGCAGUGAGGAAUAUUGGUCAAUGGGCGCGAGCCUGAACCAGCCAAGUCGCGUGAGGGAAGACGGUCCUAUGGAUUGUAAACCUCUUUUGUCGGGGAGCAAAAGACGCCACGCGUGGCGUUCCGAGAGUACCCGACGAACAAGCAUCGGCAAACCCCGUGCCAGCAGCCGCGGUAAUACGGAGGAUGCGAGCGUUAUCCGGAUUUAUUGGGUUUAAAGGGUGCGCAGGCGGAAGAUCAAGUCAGCGGUAAAAUUGAGGGGCUCAACCUCUUCGGGCCGUUGAAACUGGUUGUCUUGAGUGAGCGAGAAGUAGGCGGAAUGCGUGGUGUAGCGGUGAAAUGCAUAGAUAUCACGCAGAACUCCGAUUGCGAAGGCAGCAUACCGGCGCUCAACUGACGCUCAUGCACGAAAGUGUGGGUAUCGAACAGGAUUAGAUACCCGGGUAGUC
rnacentral:rRNA from 1 species